rnacentral:rRNA from 1 species
GACGAACGCUGGCGGCGUGCUUAACACAUGCAAGUCGAACGAGGUCCACUGCGUAGCAAUACAAGGGAAGACCUAGUGGCGAACGGGUGCGUAACACGUGAGGAACUUGUCCCGGUCUCUGGGAUAACAGUUGGAAACGACUGCUAAUACCGGAUGACGUCGGAAUCUCGCAUGGGAUACUGACGAAAGGGUUACUGGAUCGGGAGAGCCUCGCGGCCUAUCAGCUUGUUGGUGAGGUAACGGCUCACCAAGGCAUCGACGGGUAGCUGGUCUGAGAGGAUGAUCAGCCACACUGGGACUGAGACACGGCCCAGACUCCUACGGGAGGCAGCAGUGGGGAAUCUUGCGCAAUGGGCGAAAGCCUGACGCAGCAACGCCGCGUGCGGGAAGAAGGCCCCUCGGGUUGUAAACCGCUUUCAGUAGGAACGAAAUGACGGUACCUGCAGAAGAAGGUGCGGCCAACUACGUGCCAGCAGCCGCGGUAAU